AGCCACCGCGGCGACUUGGCGGCGGGUGCCAUGCGUCUGGAGCUUCACAUUCUCUGCCCCCCACCCACCGCGCCGGCGCUCCCUUGUCACGCCUCGGGAAGCGCGCACCUGCCAAGCAGGUGAGUUCGAGCUGACUCCCGGUUGGCCCAGCCCGGUCCAGCUGGACCGAGAGCCAAACCACGUCCGCCCUCGAGGUGUCCUAGAACCCUGGGUGGUGUCCUCGGGUGUGGCCUGGGGGCUUUCGAGGGCAGAUGCCUUGGAGCAGGAGAAAUGGGCAGUGCUACUGGACCUGAUGGAUCCAGCGGCAUCCUUUUCCUGAAAGAGAUUCUAAUGUUCCACCUGUGCUCUUCCUCCCUGCGGGGUCACCAAAGUAACUCAAAGCUGACCAUCAUUGCCUCUAACCAUUAGAGCAAAUAGCUCUAUCAUUUUCUUAUUUCUCACCACCUAUUUCGUGCCUGGCACUGUGUUUAAUGCUAGAUCACAAACAAGGUCACUCUGUCGCCGGAGGGCAGUGGCAUGAUCAUAGGUCACUGUAACCUGGAACUCCUGGGUUCAGGCAAUCUUCCCACUUCAGCUUCCUGAGUAGCUAGAAUUACAGGUGUGUGCUACCAUUCUGGCAGUUUUUUUUUUUUAGAGACUAUAUCUCUAUGGGGUAUAAAUUUCUCUCUAAGCAACACACUUUAUUCCUUCAAGUUUUAAUAACUGUAUUUUCACUAUUAUUCACUUAUAAAUAAUUCACUUUUGUAUUUAAAAAGAAUAAGUAUUCUUUCUUGUUUGGGAGUAUAGAGUUCCAUAUAAUGCCUGUUCAAAUUUGCUGAUUAUAUUGUUUAAAUCUUUUAAAUCAAAGGUAUUUUAUCUACUUAUUCUAUUAGUUAUUGAUAGUAUGUUGAAAUAUUCCACUGUUAUAGAUUUAUUCAUUUUUCCUUGUAGGUCUGCUAAUUUUUAUUUUCUCUAUUUUGAAGCUAUGUAUUAGAUAUAUCAAAAUUGUUAUAUUUCUCUGGCAAACUGAACCUUUUAUAAUUAUCAAGUGUCCCUCUUUGUUUCUAAUAAUGGUUUUUGUUUUAGAGUUUAACUACACCAGCUUUGUGAGUGUGUUUAUAAUUCCAUCCUAUAACUUUUCAUCUUUUUGUAUCCAUAUAUUUUAGAUGUGUCUCUUGUAAAUGCAUUUAGAUGUUUUCUUUUAACCAAUCUGAGCAUACAAUCGUGGGUCAUUUAGCCCAUUUUAAUGUAAUUGAAUUACUAAUAUAGUUGGUAUAAUAGCUAAGAGCAGUGGCUUCAGUGCUACACACACCUAGGUUUGAAUAUUGGCUCUACCAUGGCCAAAUAUGUUGUCUUGAUCCUGGGCUUGGUUCGCAGGAGCAUUAAAGGAUUAAUGAGCAAAAACAGAAAUUCUAAGUGCUAUUAUUGAAGGGGAAGUGAAGCUAGUAUAAGGAAGACAGUCUUCCUGGAAAAAAUUAAUUAUUGGUAGAGGGAAGAGAAAUAAAAUUAAAUGGGUAAGGUGAGACCAACCGUGGGAGCAUUGAAAACUUAGCAAAAGAGUAAAAACUUUUGCUGGUGGGAGCUUUUAGAAGCUCUUGAGCAUGGAAUUAGCAUGACAAGCCUGAAGAGAUCACUACUUUGGAAUUUUCUCCCAAGUGGAAGUCAACCUGUUGGGUAUACCCGAGAACCUGUUGGCCAUUGUAAAAAGUUGUACUGAGAAAGGAUGAAGACCUAAACAACUACAGAAAGAAGAUUACAGUGUUUGAAUGACAGGAAAGCAUUGAACUAUGGUUAGCUGUCUGUUGCAGUAAAGGGAAGUGAGUUAGCUCAGGAGGUGAAGACGUUUAAUGUGAAAGUGGCUGCAGGUAGUUCCAUGUUGUGUCACAAUGCCAUUCACUGUGCUCCUGGAUGUCACAAUUACACUGAAGUGUACAGGGCAAAAGGCUAAUUUUAAAAUUAGCCAAAUAACUGGGAGAGAGUUGAAAGUACCUUAUGUAUAAUUUCUCUUCUGCUAACUUAGUAUGCAAUCUAAAAUUCUUGAUUUCUUGAUUUUUUUCAUAUUUUAAGUAGGAAUAAUUUCUGACUUGCCUACAUCUCAGAUUUAUUGUAAAAUGAUAGAUGCACAAGUAUUUUGGGAACCCAAGUCAAAAAUCACUUUAAAAUAAUUAUUUUUAUUGGAAUAUAUAUAAUCAAGAUUUGAUAUUUACCAAUAUCAAUACUCAAACAGGCGGGGCGCAGUGGCUCACACCUGUAAUCCCAGCACUUUGGGAGGCUGAGCUGCACCGAUGGCUCGAUCCCAAGGAGUUCAAGACCAGCCUGAGCAAAAUGACGAAACCACACCUCUACAGAAAAUACAGAAAGUUAUCCAGGGAUAAUGGCACAUGCCUGUAGUCCCAGCUACUAGGGGUGGGUGGGGGGUUUGAAGCGGGAAGAUUGCUUAGUCCUGGGAGGUUCAGGCUGCAAUAAGCCAUUAUCACACCACUGCACUCCAGCCUGGGCGACAGAGCGAGACCUUGUCUCAAAAACAAAACAAAACAACAAUGACAACAACAAAACACCUCUAAAGCAGCAAUUCUUAAACUUUUUAGUCUCUAGGAUCCCUUUAUAAUAUUAAAAAUUGAGACCCAGCCAGGUGUGGUGGCUCACACCUAUACCCCAACACUUUGGGAGGCUGAGGUGGGAGGAUCACUUGAACCUUGGAGUUUGAGGUCAGCCUGGGCAACAUAGGGAGACCUGCACCUCUACAAAAAAUUAAGAAAUUAGCCAGUCAUGGUAGAGCCUGCCUAUGGUCCCAGCUACUUGAGAGGCUGAGGUAGUGAGGUACGAGGUCGAGGCUGCAGUAAGCCAUGAUCACGCCACUGCACUCCAGCCUGGGCAACAGAGCAAGACCCUUUUGCAAAAAAAAAAAAAAUUGAGAUCACCAUGCCCCACAAAGAGCUUCUGUUUAUAUUUACAUCUAUCCAACUAUAACAUAUUAGAAAUUAAAAUUGAAAAAUAUUUAAAGUCUUGAUUUAUCAAUUUACUUAGAAAGAAUGAUAAACCAAUGCAUAUUAUAAUAACAUGCUUUAUUUUUUUAAAAAAAAACAUAUUUUCCAGAAAAAAAACAUGAGAAGAAUGAUAUUCCUUUACAUUUUCAGAAAUAUCUUUGAUGCCUGGCUUCUGACUUAGUAGAAGACAGCCGGGUUCUCAUAUCUGCUUUUGAAUUUCAUCUUUUGAGAUAUCACACGCUGUGUAACCUCUGGAAAACUCCACUCUACGCUCAUGAGAGAAUGGGAGUGAAAAAGACAAAUAACAUUUUAGUCUUAUUAUGAAAAUAGUUUUGACCUUGCUGACCCACUGAAAGGGUCUCAAGGACCCACGGGGGUUUCCAGAUGACAUCUUGAGAACUGCAGCUCUGAAAUAUUUCUAAAAACAUCUGCUAAAACAUGCAUUGAGGAAGCUCUAGACAACCAAUUGCCAGAAGUAAUAUAUAAUGCCACUAUUAAUAAAACAAAGUUGCAAAAACUAUUUAAGGAAUAAUUUCACAUAUUGAUAUGUAUGAAAUAUAUGUAUAUUUCAAUUUCAUAUAAUCACAUUUUGAAAGUCAUAAGCAAUCACAUAUUGAAAGUCAUUCCUACACUUCAAAAUCAAAUUUCCAAAUCCAAUCCAGAUAUGAACACAAACAUGAUGAUUCCUAUAAACGGGAUAGCUGAAUUUAGUGUGACUUUUGUGAUAUAGCAUGAUUUAAGUUACUUUGUAAGAUCUGAUUCACUUCCAUUUUAGGGUCACAAAGUUAUUUUUAUCAUUGCAUUUAGAUCAGUGGUAAAUAGUUAAAAGAUGUUCUGGGUAAGUUGUUCCCAAGAUGAUUUUUUUAAUGCUAUGGAGAGCAUAGCUUGGAAAUUGUUUAUUCAUAAAUCCUAGCACUUGGCCUUUUCAUACCUCCAAGUUUCUUAGUUCUUUUCAUCUGACCACCUUUAUCCUUUGUAGACAAUAACUACCAAGCACCCAAAAGGAAGUGAUAUUCUCAAAGGCAAGUCUUUUCUAUCUUAAUUCAGAUAUGAUAGGAAUUGCUUUUUUCCAUUGACUGAAAGUAUUCUUCUGGGGCAAAGAGAUGAACCAAGUCUCUGCAUGCGCUAAGACUCCCCCAGAGCCCCAGAGAAAGCUGGGUCUGAGGAUGUGGCAAAAGUCAGUGGUCUUCAGAGGCUUAUAAUCAUCUCUUACUAAUUCUGCCUUUGACUAUUUCAGGACUAUAGACUCUCUUAGGACUCCCUAUUCUCUAUUCAGGAGAAUUUACAGAGAGAGUAUCCUGCCUGCUUAAUCCUCCCAAGUGGCCCUUAGCUCUCUCUCUAGUCACCAUUUCCCAUUAUUUUCUUUUCUGAAAGGGGAAGCUGACUUUGCUCCCCACUGCUUAGCUUAGCUGUAAGAAAGCUACUGUGAGUAUAUUAGGAGUACACAUACCUCUAAUGGUCAUCCCAUCCUUAUUUUUUCACAGUCAAAUAAGUUUUCUCUCUAGUCUAACUGAACCAUGGCACCACCUCCUACCACAAGCAAUAAUAAUCCUGAAGCCUGAAAAAGCAUGAAAGCUACUUUGAAUCAAAUGUUUAAAAUGACCUGUUAAUCACCCAUGCAGUGUUCCCACUGCGUCCCUAAAUCUGCUACUGAAAGAAGCAAUAUCUGUUUUUGAAAUCUAUUUUUUUAAUGUUGAUAUAUUUGAUGACUAGAUUUUUAAGCAAAGAAAUAUGGUAGCUUCUUCACGCUCUUAAUUUCUUUCAUUUUUUUAACAUCCUCACUUUCUUGUUUUUCCUUUCUUUUAGGCUCAUCUUUUUUCCUGUUUUUUCAACCUGGGUCAGUAUGAUGCAGGACUAGAGAGAAAUGAGAAGAGAAAAAUGAGGGUCAGUCUAUGAGCCAAGAGACAAAGUCAUGGGAAGACAGCUGAGGCUAAUUCCAGAAGGUCCUCCUAGGAGAAGCCAAAGCAGGGGACACACCUCAAAAUAGAGCCAUGCAUAGAACCACUCAUAGCCAGACUGCAAGGCAGGAACAUGAGGAUGGUCACUAGGAGGCCAACAAAUUCUGCUAAAGGGGAUUCUUUUUAUAAAAUACACUCUUUCAGGACAUUGUCAGAUCCUCUGCAUAUAGUCCUCAAAAUACGUCCUUGAUCCAGCUUGUUUUAAGUGUUUAUGCAAAAUAAUGGUAUGUUUGAAAGUGUUAGAUAUUAAUUUUUUAUUUCUGUUUUGAAGGCAUUCAAGUAUCACGGACUAUCAGCACCUUCGUUUCUUUUUUUUUUUUUUUUAAGCCAAAGCUACUGGAUCAAAAGUAAUAUACUGCUUUGUUUGUAUGUGAUGUUUGGGGAGAAGAAAAGUCGAAAUUCACAUAACUGAAAUUUUAAUCAAUCCUAACACUCUUUUUUUAUGAUGAGCCAUAUGUAUGAUCCAUAAACAGCUUCUAAACCUAUCCAUGUAAUCACAGCUCAGGUUAGAAAGGUUGCCUGUGUAGAGCAGGGUCAUAGGAUGAGCUCCCUCGAGGGGGCAGGAGGCUGCUGGAGGAGUGAACAUCAAGAAGCCUACAGGGAAGCAGUACACCAGCUGGAAAAACAUGACACCAGAUGCAAUAAUAAUCAUGAAGAGAUGUAGGCCCCACAACAGCCAAGGAUUUUGUAAAAAGGAAAGGAAGAUACUUGGGUGAAUGAGCCACUUUAUAUGCCAGUUCUGGGUGACACUUAAACACCAGCGUCAGGAAAAUCAAUCCUCAGUAGUUAGCUACCCACUGACCUACCCUUUUGCACCUAAGCUACAAGUACAUUUGUAGUCAUGAGAAGCACAAUCCCAAGUUCUAACCAUGCUCUUCAAAAGACCACUCAUCAUUGAGGGAGUUUGUUUAUUAAAACCAAUCUGUGGAACUUCCAGCUCCCUGGUGGAUCUUAAAAUUUCAGGAAAAAAAGUUAUAUUUACCUUCAAACCCAAAAUUCAGAAUGUGAAUUUAUAAUAUCACCAUAAAACUCUGUGAAAAUUGAGUUUUACCUUGGAAGAAAUAAUAUAGGUUGAUGAUCAGUCAUGUAACGUGCCUGAAAUACAAACAUAUUUAUGGGAACUCACACUUUCCUUAGAACCCAUCAGUGAGAACAACAGGUGAGCUCCUGCUUCCCAGCUUUGUACUAAGAAUAUUGGUUACCUUGUCUUAUGGAAAACGAGGAUGUCUUGGAUUUGCAUCCAAAUAAUCCAAUGCAGGUAGUUAGCAAGGAACACAGCAAGUGGAUUAGAGGAUAAACAAGACAAGAAUGGCCAUGUGAAAGCCGGGAUAUGGAUACAUGAGGGUUCGGGUAUGCUCUACUUGGGUGUGUUUUCAAGUUUUCCAUAAUAAAAAAUGUAAAAGUGUAUUUAAAUGUUUCACUUAGGCUGGGUGUGGUGGCUCACUCUGUAAUCUCAGCACUUUGGGAGGCCAAGCAGGCAGAUCACUUGAGGUCAGGAGUUUGAGAGCAGCCUGGCCAACAUGGUAAAACCCUGUCUCUACUAAAACUACGAAAAAUUAGCCAGGUGCAGUAGCAUGCACCUGUAAUCCCAGCUGCUUGGGAGGCUGAGGCAGGAGAAUUGUUUGAACCUGGGAGGUGGAUGUUGCAGUGAGCCAAGAUAGUGCCACUAUACUCCAGCCUGGGUGACAGAGCGAGACCCUGUCUCAAAAAUAAAAAUUAAAUUAAAAUAAUUUUUUAACUUAGCCUGUCCUUUUAUUACUAUUUCAAAAACCAUCAGUGAAUAUUGUAAAAAAAAUUUAGAGAGGAUAGUAGAGUAUAAAGAAAGAGCAAAAAUUUUAGCAUGCAUGACCUGUCCCAUCACUCAGAUAUCAAAUAUGCUAACCAUGCCACUCCAUAAAUGUAAAUUGAUCAGUCAUCCUAGUGGCCUCAGCUAGUCAGUAACUUUAAUGUCAUGAUUUCUCCAGUAUUCACUGAUACUAAUACUACCCCACAUUUGUGAAAGUGAGAGAUGAGGAAAACAGCUAUAAAACACAUUAUACUAUUUAAUCACCUAGCAGUUUUGAUAAUUGCAGGGACAAGCCAAUGGUAAACCAAUGUAAGUAAAUAGAUAUCUUAGAGUAAUGUGUUCAUCCUCUAUGAAUUGAAUGAACUCUUUCAGAGAAUCAAGAUAUGAUCAGGUCAAUUACUGUGUUCAGUAGUUUUGCAAAAAGCAAAGUGGCAAAGUACUUUGACAAAGCACUGGUGAGCAAUUAACGGCCACCUGCAGAAAAGAGCAAGAGAUGUCAUUUCUUCAACCUAACCAUAAAGCCAGUAUGUUACAUUUCAAUGCAGUUAUGUUAUAUUGGUUAACUAUUGCUGGGUAAUAAAUUACCCCAAAACUUAGCAGCUUAAAACAACAAACAUUUAUUAUCUUACAUCAUUUCUAAGACUCAAGAACCCAGGAACAACUUUGGUGGGUGGUUCUGGCUCACAGUCUCUCAAAAAGUUGCAAUCAAGCUGUUAUCCAGGGCUACAGUUAUCUCAAGGAUUAACUGGGGCUGGAUAAUCCACUUCCAAGUUCACUCACAAGGCUGUUAACCAGCCUCGGUUACUUACCCCAAGGGUCUUUCAUAGGCUGUUCGAGUGUCCUUAUGAAAUGGCAGCUGGUUUCCCACAGAGUAAGCCAUCAGACAGAGAGAAGUGAGAGAAAAAAGAUAAUUAAGACAGCAAGUAAAUGAGAGAGGGUCCAUAAUAGAAGCUUCGGUCAUUUGGAAUCUAGUCUUAGAAGUGACAUACCAUCAUUUCUGUCUUAUCCUGUUGGUCAUUACACAUCAACCUUAGUCGGUUGUGGGAGGGGACAAUAGAAGGAUGUGAAUUUCAAGAGGCAGAAAUCAUUGGGGACCUUUUGAAGACUGGCUACUACAGGUGGAAUAAAAGAAAAGAAAUAACUUCUAAAUACUAGAGAUAAGAUAUAUGAAAAUAGAUUUGCAAGGAUUGUCUUUAAAAGAAUUAUAGUUGGACCCCAAUCUAUCUGAGAUGGCUUUGUUACUAAAGUCAAAAGAUAGGGAGCUAAACAAUGACUUCCAAUUAUGUAAAACUUUCAAAAUGCUUUAAUACUAUAAAUAUCUGAAUGUAAGAGCGGAGUACUGCCAUCAAGCACUCAAACCAGGGGCUUGCUGAGUUUAUCUGUAUUCAUAGAUGUAGAGAAGAACAAUAGCAAUGGCUGCUAAAUUUUGUAUUAUCCCCACCAUUCCCAGAUGGGGUUAUGUGUGCAAAGCUCAGCUCCUAGCUUCUAGUCCCACUCCUGGUAGGCUUCAAUCUGACAUGGCACAAAUACUCUAGCCUGCCUUGUUUAUUCUUAACCUUGACCACCUCAACCAAGGAAUCAUGGUAGAAGAGAAAAGAAAUACAACAUAUGGUUUCUGCCUUCAGCAAUCUUAAAAUCUCAACUCAAGAAGAAAAUGAUCUCCCAUACCCUCAACUGGAGGCCUUGGGAAAAAACAGAAACUUUAAACACUGAAGACCCUAGCUAUCCCUAGGCCUCAGUUUAUACAGAAUAUAUUAAAAGUUAUGUUUCAAUCUCUUUCUCUGUAUUCAUCUCUAAAACUACACUUAGGUAGUGAUUUCUAGCACAAGUGGUUUUGAAAAUAUUUUGGAUUUCCUACCAUACUUUCAGAAUGCAGGUCAUCAGUGCAGAACAAAAUGUGACUUUGCUCACAACCUCAAUCCAAUAACUUCAUUGUAAUUGAUAUGGGUAAACCACUGAAGUAGUAGAUAAAUUUCAGUCCACCAGGAGAAUCAUAUUUGUUCAACUAUGAUGUUGAUCAGAUUAUAAUAGUAAAUCAUGCACUCUAUUGGCAAGUAGAUAUCAUCUCAUCAAAAAUAGAGAACAGCUUGAGGUAGUCUGCAAUACUGCUUUGGUAUAAUUAAACAGCUUCUUACUGCCUAAAUUGGCAAAGCACUUCAUCAAUCAGUGAUCUGGUCCCUCGGAGAUUGCUUUUAUUGUUUGACACAAACCUUUUGUAAGACUUCUUGGAUGCUGCUCUCCCUCAGGUUACAAUAAUAGUAACUGCUGUUUCUGGGUUACCUUACUGUAAUUUUCAUGUCCAGUGAUGUCUCAUUAUAGUUGUUCUUGAGGGGGAAUGAGUGAUGGAGAGUCUCCAAUUAUGAAUAAAACACAUUAAAUAAAAAGAGAGUAAUAGCAUACUCAAAAGUAGCCCUAAAAAUGGUUAACUAUGCAAACUAAAGGAUGAUUAUUUAGGUAGAAGAAGGGAAAGGAAAAGAUAAGUGACAUCUUUUCACUUUCAUAACAGUUGUGAAAGAAAUCAUCUUUCUAAUAAUUUUACUUAUUGGUAAAAGAGAAAUAUAAUCACUCAUUUUUAUAGUCAGUAAGAUAAUAAAUUAACUCUCUUUAAUGGAAAAAGUUUGAUGCAUAUGACCAUUCAUUCUGAGUCUAAUAGUCGUCACUAUCAAUCUUUAUCUCCUCCCAACUCAAUAGUACUCUCAAUAUCCUACAAUUCUGAGGUGCAGAUUCCUUUUUGAGCUCUCUCUUGAUGUUACCAGAACAUAUGGAAUUAUAGUGUUGUCAGGUGUUUUCUUGUUAAGAUAAUUCAUUGAUAUAUCUUCAAAGGAGUUUUUUUUUUUUUUGGUACUUUUCUAGGAUAAAGCCCCUAAACAACAUCACCCAAAAAAUUAAAAUCUUUGUUAUCCUUUAACAGAGAAUUAAAUAGUUUAGGAUCAAGAUAUUGAGCCCCUUGGGCUCACACUUUGAAUUAUUAUAUUUACCUGGUGAAUUAUGUGGGUCUUCUUUUUAGUUUCACUUUAGCAGACACUUUUCCCCCCAGGGAAAGACAUUGUUGAUCAUAGCAGUAGGUCUAAUUCCUUUCUCAUAUAUUUAUUUUUGAGGAACUCCGACAGACUGGCUUGGCCUUAACCAUAGAAAGAAGUUUGUUCUGUAUGAUUUGUGUAUGUGUGUGUGAGGUAGGGGGCAGUGAUGGGAGAGUAGGAAAUCUUGUUUUAUACAAACAUGUAAGAGAAACCUCAAAUACUCUAGUCCAGAGAAUAAAUGAUUGAUGUCACAUUUUUUCCUAAGAGCGAGUUUUGAUAGGUCAGAAUGGAGAUACCAUCAGAACACUAGGCACCUAAAAGGGGGUUAUGAGAGGUCAGACAGAGCAAACCUAUAUCCAGGAUCAGUCAUGUGUUCCUCUAUCCAAAUUCUGCCUAAGGGUACACCUCCCCCAAUAACUUACAGAGAAAUUUAAAAUGAAUAUUUGCAAAUACUUUGUCAUCUUAUUACUUCAAAACUGUUAUCAACUAAGUAAAACUCUUUUUCAUAUUUUUUAAUUAAAAAACUCUAAUUUGAAAACUACCCCCCAUAAUCAGGGCACUGUCUCUAAUACCUAGACAAGGCUUCUAUUUGUUUUUCACUUUCCACUUCAUCCUGUAAAUUCUUGCCACGCUGACAGCUCUGCUGAAAACAUUCAAUACUACCGUUAUUGUCUUCUGGCAUAUAAGGCUGUUCAAAAUUUGCCCCCAAAUUACCUUCCAAGAUUUUUCAUGCACUAUUCCCCUAACAAAAAGGGUUUCUUGCCAACCAUUUUAUUAUGUAGAAAACACCUCCCCGACAACCGCCAUUCAUAAUGCCUCCUCGUUUAUCUAGAAGUUACCCCCCUACCCCUGCACUCUUCUGUCAUACUUUGUUUGGUUCAUAUGUUUGAUUCAAAUCCAAAUGGCCUGUAUGGAUUUUAUAUUUUCUUAUAUUGUAGAUGUUUAUGUAUACAUCUAUAUCUACCAUAUACUAUAGUAACUACUAGAGGACAACAACCGUAUCAUAGGCAACUCUUUUAUGUGCAUAAUCUCUGCAGGAUACCUUUACCAUUACUAAUACUUAGCAAAUGUUCGUGGAAGGAAAGCGUUGCAAGAGGUAGGGAGGCAGGCAUGCUGGCUUUUUAAAAUCUAAUUUUCAUCAACCUCUAGGUCAGUGGUUCCCAAUACUGGUUGUUUAUUUGAAUCACUAGGGAAUUAUUUUUAAAGAGCAGUGCCACACCUAACACCUAUUUGAUUCAAAUCUCUGGGAGGUAGGAUCACAGCAUCUAUAUGUAUGUUUUAAAAGUUGUCCAGAUAAUCCUAACGAGCAUUGGUUCAAAGUCUAGUCCCCAGACCAGCAACAUCAGCAUUGCUGGGAAUUUGUAAGAAAUGUAAAUUCUGAGACCCUUCCCUGCAUCUACUAAGUCAGAAAUCUGGGAAUGGGGCCCAGCAAUAUGUGUUGGAACAAACCCUCCAGAUGAUUUUGAUGAACAUUAAAGUUUGAGAACUACUGCUCUAGAGUGUUAAUGAAAGUAGGACAGGAGCAGAGUGUCCACAAGAAAAUAGUUUGAUGUUCUUGUGACAUCAAAUGGUCAGGUAAUAAAAUCAUUGCAAGAACAAAAUGGUUUUUAAAAACUGUACAAAGAGGCCGGGUGUGGUGGCUCACACCUAUAAUCCCAGCACUUUAGGAGGCUAAGGCAUGUGGAUCACUUGGGGUCAGGAGUUUGAGUCCAGCCUGGCCAACAUAGUGAAACCCUGUCUCUACUAAAAGUACAAAAAUUAGCCAGGCAUAAUAGUAUGCACCUGUAAUCCCAGCUACCUGGGAGGCUGAGGCAAAAGAAUCAUUUAAACCUGGAGGCAGAGCCUGCAGUGAGCAGAGAUAGCACCACUGCACUCCAGCCUGGGCAACAGAGCAAGACUCUGUCUCAAAAGAAAAAACAACAACAACAACAACAAAACUGUACAAAAAGCCUUUAAAAAAAUAAGACAGAUCUUCAAAAAAAAUUUGGUAAUCAGGCUAACAUGAAGGACGGUCUUCAUUGUAUAGAGGCAAGAUGAGAGAAACAUAAAUGAGAAAAGACAUGCAGGAUCCUGACAAGAUGGCCGAAUAGGAACAGCUCUGGUCUGCAGCUCCCAGCAAGACCAAUGCAGAAGGCAGGUAAUUUCUGCAUUUCCAACUAAGUGUAAACAAAGUCACCAGGAAGUUCAGACUGGGCGGAACCCACCGAUGUAGCUGCUGUAGCCAGACUGUCUCUCUAGAUCCCUCCUCUCUGGGCAGGGCAUCUCUGAAAGAAAGGCAGCAGCCCCAGUCAGGGGCUUGUAGAUAAAACUCCCAUCUCCCAGGGACAGAGCACCUGGGGGAAGAAGGGAUGACUGUGGGUGCAGCUUCAGCAGACUUAAACAUUCCUGCCUGCUGGCUCUGAAGAGAGCAGUGGAUCUCCCAGCACAGUGCUUGAGCUCUGCUAAGGAACAGACUGCCUCCUCAAGUAGGUCCUUGACCCCCAUGCCUCCUGACUAGGAGACACCUCCCAGCAGGGGACGGCAGACACCUCAUACAGAAGAGCUCUGGCCAGCAUCUGGCAGGUGCCCCUCUGGGACGAAGCUUCCAGAGGAAGGAGCAGGCAGCAAUCUUAGCUGUUCUGCAGCAUCUCCUGGUGAUACCCAGGCAAAAAGGGUCUGGAGUGGACCUCCAGCAAACUCCAGCAGACCUGCAGAAGAUAGGCCUGACUGUUAGAAGGAAAACUAACAAACAGAAAGCAAUAACAUCAACAUCAACAAAAAGGACAUCAACACAAAAACCCCAUCCAAAGGUCAUCAGCAUCAAAGAUCAAAGGUACAUAAAUCCAUGAAGAUGAGGAAAAACCAGCACAAAAAUGCUGAAAAUUCCAAAAACAAGAAUGCCUCUUCUCCUCCAAAGGAUCACAACUCCUUGCCAGCAAGGGAACAAAACUGGAUGGAGAAGGAGUUUGAUGAAUUGACAGAAGUAGGCUUCAGAAGGUGCAUAAUAACAAACUCCUCCGCGCUAAAGGAGCAUGUUCUAACCCAAUGCAAGCAAGCUAAGAACCUUGAUAAAAGGUUACAGGAACUGCUAACUAGAGUAACCAGUUUAGAGAACAUAAAUGACCUGAUGGAACUGAAAAACACAGCACGAGAACUUUGUGAAGCAUACACAGGUAUCAAUACCCGAAUCAAUCAAGCAGAAGAUAGGAUAUCAGAGACUGAAGAUCAACUUAAUGAAAUAAAGCAUGAAGACAAGAUUAGAGAAAAAAGAAUGAAAAGGAAUGAACAAAGCCUCCAAGAAAUAUGGAACUAUGUGGAAAGACCAAACCUAUGAUUGAUUGGUAUGCCUGAAAGUGAUGGAGAGAAUGGAACCAAGUUGGAAAACACACUUCAGGAUAUUAUCCAAGAGAACUUCCCCAAGCUAGCAAGACAGGCCAACAUUCAAAUUCAGGAACUACAGAGAGCACUACUAAGAUGCUCCUCAAGAACAGCACCAAGACAUAUAAUCAUCAGAUUCACCAAGGUUGAAAUGAAGGAAAAAAUGUUAAGGGCAGCCAGGGAGAAAGGUCAGGUUACCUACAAAGGGAAGCAAUCAGACUAACAGUGUAUCUCUCUGCAGAAACCCUACAAGCCAGAAGAGAGUGGGGGUCAAUAUUCAACAUUCUUAAAGAAAAGAAUUUUCAACCCAGAAUUUCAUAUCCAACCAAAUUAAGCUUCAUAAGAGAAGGAAAAAUAAAAUCCUUUACAGACAAGCAAAUGCUGAGGGAUUUUGUCACCACCAGGCCUGCCUUACAAGAGCUCCUGAAGGAAGCACUAAAUAUGGAAAGGAAAAACCAGUACCAGCCACUGCAGAAACAUACCAAAAUAUAAAGACCAAUGACACUAUGAAGAAACCGCAUCAACUAAUGUCCAAAAUAACCAGCUAGCAUCGUGAUGGCUUGACCAAAUUCACACAUAACAGUAUUAACCUUAAAUGUGAAUGGGCUAAAUGUCCCAAUUAGAAGAAACAGACUGGCAAAUUGGAUAAAGAGUCAAGACCCAUCAGUGUGCUGUAUUCAGGAGACCCAUCUCAUGUGCAGAGACACACAUAGGUUCAAAAUAAAGGGAUGGAGGAAUAUUUUCCAAACAAAUGGAAAGUAAAAAAAAUCAGGGGUUACAAUCCUGGUCUCUGGUAAAACAGACUUUAAACCAACAAAGUUCAAAAAAGACAAAGAAGGGCAUUACAUAAUGGUAAAGGGAUCAAUGCAACAAGAAGAGCUAACUGUUUUAAAUAUAUCUACACCCAAUACAGGAGCACCUAGAUUCAUAAAACAAGUUCUUAGAGACUUACAAAGAGACUUAGACUCCCACACAAUAAUAGUGAGGGACUUUAACACCCACAGUCAAUGUUAGACAGAUCAACGAGACAGAAAAUUAUCAAGGAUAUUCAGAACUUGAACUCAACUCUGGACCAAGUGGACCUAAUAGACAUCUACAGUACUCUUCACCCCAAAUCAACAGAAUAUACAUUAUUCUCAGCACCACAUAGCACUUAUUCUAAAAUUGACCACAUGAUUGGAAGUAAAACACUCCUCAGCAAAUGCAAAAGAAUGGAAAUCAUAACGGUCUUUCAGACCACAGUUCAAACAAAUUAGAACUCAGGAUUAAGAAACUCACUCAAAACCACACAACUACAUGGAAACUGAACAACCUUCUCCUGAAUGACUACUGGGUAAAUAACGAAAUUAAAGCAGAAAUAAAUAGGUUCUUUGAAACCAAUGAGAACAAAGACACAACAUACCAGAAUCUCUGGGUCACAGCUAAAGCAGCAUGUAGAGGGAAAUUUAUAGCACUAAAUGCCCACAGGAGAAAGCGGGAAAGAUCUAAAAUUGAUACCCUAAUAUCACAAUUAAAAGAACUAGAGAAGCAAGAGCAAACAAAUUCAAAAGCUAGCAGAAAACAAGAAAUAACUAAGAUCAGAGCAGAACUGAAGGAGAUAGAGACACAAAAAAAACCUUCAAAAAAUCAGUGAAUCCAGGAGCUAGUUUUUUGAAAAGAUUAACAAAUAGACCACUUGCCAGAAUAAUAAAGAAGAAAAGAGAGAAGAAUCAAAUAGACACAAUAAAAAAUAAUAAAGGGGAUAUUACCACUGAUCUCACAGAAAUACAAACUACCAUCAGAGAAUAUGAUAAACACCUCUACGCAAAUAAACUAGAAAAGGUAGAAGAAAUGGAUAAACUCCUGGAGACAUACACCCUCCCAAGGCUAAACCAGGAAGAGGUUGAAUCCCUGAAUAGACCAAUAACAAGUGCUGAAAUUGAGGCAGUAAUUAAUAGCCUACCAACCAAGAAAAGCCCAGGAUCAGAGGAAUUCACAGCUGAAUUCUACAAGAGGUACAAAGAGGAGCUGAUACCAUUCCUUCUGAAACUAUUCCAAACAAUAGAAAAAGAGGGACUCCUCCCUAACUCAUUUUAUGAGGCAAGCAUCAUCCUGAUACCACAACCUGGCAGAGACACAACAAAAAAAGAAAAUUUCAGGCCAAUAUCCCUGAUGAACAUUGAUGUGAAAAUCCUCAAUCAAGUACUAACAAACCGAAUUCAGCAGCACAUCAGAAAGCUCAUCCACCACGAUCCAGUCGGCUUCAUCCCUGGGAUUCAAGUCUGGUUCAACAUAUGCAAAUCAACCAACAUAAUCCAUCACAUAAACAGAACCAAUGACAAAAACCACAUGAUAAUCUCAAUAGGUGCAGAAAAGGCCUUUGAUAAAAUUCAACACUCCUUCCUGCUAAAAACACUCAAUAAACUAAGUAUUGAUGGAAGAUAUCUCAAAAUAUUAAGAGCUAUUUAUGACAAACCCACAGCCAAUAUCAUACUGAAUGGGCAAAAGCUGGAAGCAUUCUCCUUGAAAACCAGCACAAGACAAAGAUGCCCUCUCUCACCACUCCUAGUCAACAUAGUAUUGGAAGUUCUGGCCAAGGCAAUCAGGCAAGAGAAAGAAAUAAAGGUAUUCAGAUAGGAAGAGAGGAAGUCAAAUUGUCUCUGUUUGCAGAUAACAUGAUUGUAUACUUAGAAAACCCCAUCGUCUCAGCCCAAAAUCUCCUUAAGCUGAUAAGCAACUUCAACAAAGUCUCAGGAUACAAAAUCAAUGUGCAAAAAUCACAAGCAUUCCUAUACAUCAAUAAUAGACAAACAGAGAGCCAAAUUAUCAGUGAACUCCCAUUCACAAUUGCUACAAUACCUAGGAAUGCAACUUACAAGGGAUGUGAAGGACGUCUUCAAGGAGAACUACAAACCACUGCUCAAGGAAAUAAGAGAGGACACAAACAAAUGGAAAAACAUUCCAUGCUCAUGGAUAGGAAGAAUCAAUAUUCUUCCUAUGGGCAGUGAUAAUGCCCAUACUGCCCAAAGCAAUUUAUGGAUUCAAUGCUAUUCUGAUCAAGCUACCAUUGACUUUCUUCACAGAAUUAGAAAAAACUACUUUAAAUUUCAUAUGGAACCCAAGAAGAACCCAUAUAGCCAAGACAAUCCUAAGCAAAAAGAACAAAGCUGGAUGUAUCAUGCUACCUGACUUCAAACUAUACUACAAGGCUACAGUAACCAAAACAGCAUGGUACUGGUACUAAAACAGAUAUACAGACCAAUGGAACAGAACAGAGGCCUCAGAAAUAACACCACACAUCUACAACCAUCUGAUCUUCGACAAAACUGACAAAAACAAGCAAUGGGGAAAGGAUUCCUUAUUUAAUAAAUGGUAUUGGGAAAACUGGCUAGCCAUAUGCAGAAAACUGAAACUGGACCCCUUCCUUACACCUUAUACAAAAAUUAAAUCGAGAUGGAUUAAAGACUUAAAUGUAAGACCUAAAACCAUAAAAACCCUAGAAGAAAACCUAGGCAAUACCAUUCAGGACAUAGGCAUGGGCAAAGACUUCAUGACUAAAACACCAAAAGCAAUGGCAACAAAAGCCAAAAUUGACAAAUGGGAUCUAAUUAAACUAAAGGGCUUCUGCACAGCAAAAGAUACUAUCACCAGAGUGAACAGGCAACCUACAGAAUGGGAGAAAAUUUUUGCAAUCUAUCCAUCUGACAAAGGGCUAAUAUCCAGAAUCUACAAGGAACUUAAACAAAUUUACAAGAUAAAAACAACCCCAUCAAAAAGCAGGCUAAGGAUAUGAACAGACACUUCUCAAAAGAAGACAUUUAUGCACCAGCAAACAUAUGAAAAAAAGCUCCUCAUCACUAUUCAUUAGAAAAAUGCAAAUCAAAGCCACAAUGAGAUACUGUCUCACGCCAGUUAGGAUGGCAAUCAUUAAAAAGUCAGGAAAUAGGCCAGGUGCGGUGGCUCACGCCUGUAAUCCCAGCACUUUGGGAGACCAAGGCGGGCAGAUCACGAGGUCAGGAGAUGGAGACCAUCCUGGCUAACACGGUGAAACCCCAUCUCUACUAUGAAUACAAAAAAUUAGCUGGGCGUGGUGGCGGGCACCUGUAGUCCCAGCUACUCAGGAGGCUGAGGCAGGAGAAGGCGUGAACCCAGGAGUUGGAGUUUGCAGUGAGCGGAGAUUGUGCCACUGCACUCCAGCCUGGGCGACAGAGCAAGACUCUGUCUCAAAAAAAAAAAAAAAAAAAAAAAAAAAAGUCGGGAAAUAACAGAUGCUGGAAAGGAUGUGGAAAAAUAGGAUGCUUUUACACUGUUGGUGGGAGUGUAAGUUAGUUCAACCAUUGUGGAAGACAGUGUGGCGAUUCCUCAAGGAUCUGGAACCAGAAAUACUAUUUGACCCACCUAUCCCAUUACUGGGUAUAUACCCAAAGGAUUAUAAAUCAUUCUCUAUAAAGACACAUGUACACAUAUGUUUACUGUAGCACUAUGUACAAUAGCAAAGACUUGGAACCAAACCAAAUGCCCAUUAAUGAUAGAAUGGACAAAGAAAAUGUGGCACAUACACACCAUGGAAUACUAUGCAGCCAGAAAAAAGAAUGAGUUCAUGUCCUUUGCAAGGACAUGGAUGAAGCUGAAAACCAUCAUUCUCAGCAAACUAACACAGGAACAGAAGACCAAACACAGCAUGUUCUCACUCAUAAGUAGGAGUUGAACAAUGAGAACACAUGGACACAGGGAAGGGAACAUCACACACCAGGGCCUGUCAGGGGAUGGGGGAAAGAAGAGGGAGAGCAUUACGGCAAAUACCUAAUGCAUGCGGGGCUUGAAACCUAGAUGAUGGGUUGAUGGGUGCAGCAAACCACCAUGGCACCCGUAUACCUAUGUAGCAAACCUGCAUGUUCUGCACAUGUAUGGCAGAACUUAAAGUAUAAUAGGAAAAACAAAAAAGAAAGAAGAGAUGCAAUCUAAAAUGGAUAUGAAGGUUAACAAAAAAACAUUCUGCAAUUAUACACACUUAAAGGGGAGAGAGGAAAAUCUCAUACACACUCCCAAACAUGAAAGGAAAAAUAAUUACAGUUGACCAUGUAAAAGUUAUUGUUUUUCUUUUUUAAUGGGUUCUGGGUGGUGGUGGUUUUAUCUCUGAAUUUUAUAAAAUAAUUUAUGUACAACAGUUGGUCUUGCUGAGGUAGAGUAGAAAGCUAGACACAUUGGGUCAGGGAUGGAAAUGGCUGCUAUGUAUUUUUAAUUACUCAAUAUAUUUAGCAUUAGGGCCUAAUGGUGUACACCUCACGGUCCCAGAGAGGGAGAAAAACCUCCUGCUCUUAUAGAAAGAACUCAAAGCUGUGAGUCACAAUACCUAGAUUGUAGUUCUGCUUGUGCCACUUAACCAGAGGCAAAACUUUUGUUCUCACCUUUCUCAUCUAUUUAACUUGCACAUAAAAGUGCUUUUCAAAGUUAAGAGUUCUAUAAAAAUAUCAGUAUUCCUAAGUACAUGCCAUUCAUCAUUCUGUUUUAUACCUUGGAAGAUAAACACAACUUCCUACAAAUAGCAAAAGGGACAGUCUAAUGCCUGAUGCUAGCAAGAAUGGAAAGGACAACCCCAAUUUAAUUUGAUUUUGAUAUACAUAAAAAUACUAAAACAAAUCAACAAAAUAAUAUACUCUUAAUCCUCUAAGAAAGUACCAACUCCUGGCUCAGGUAGCAAUUAGAAUGGCUUCUUCAAGAGAAAUGACACCAAAGAAAUUCAUUUCAUGACAUGAUAACAGGCUACUCACAUAAGGAGGAAAAACAGGUAAGUCUGCUUCAGCUACAGUUCAAAUGAUUACAAGUAUUUAACAUGGUUAAAGAAAAACGAAUCAAUCUUUACACUCUAUUUCACGUUCCUCUUCUCAGCCUAUGACAAUAAUUGUUUAUUGGUUUAAGCAAAGCUUUUGGCUUUAGCCUUAUGCUAAAGUGUAAGGGUAUCUAAAGUGAUAAAUGGGAAAUUAAAUAUUAAAAAUUUUUUUAAAGUUGAAGAUAGUUGUAAAGUACUACACACACACACACACACACACACACACACACACACAACAAGAAACCAAGUGUAAUAUAUUAGGAAGAACUCUUUACAAGCCAGUAUUCCUUCAUUCUACCCUAGAACUAAAGACUCUUGUUUGGUAAUUGUACAUCUAGCUCUGGUACUCUAUUGAAAGUUGGUCCAACCUCAGACAGCAAAUGGGCAUUUCCCAGAGACCUGUGGAAUAUGCUGAACUUUCUGCACUUUUCCCUUGGGGAGAAAAGAAGAAUGUGGAUCACAAGAAUCUGCCACUUUAGAAAUUUAGCUAGAUCGAGGUUUUCCAUUGUAAUUUCUGUAGGAUGCUUGCACUUCUAGGGACAGGGCAUGUUUCCACGGUUCUGCUGUUAAAUGAAUUUGGGAAGCACUUCCCACUCUAACCUUGCUCCCUUGAAAAGUCACAUUGCCCGUUAGCUUAUUAAAGGCUCUAAAAAUUCUGCAUAAGCUUGUGUAAUACAAUGUGUUCACCCACAGGAUGAUUUUUCCCCAGUACCUGUUUCUAUACUUUUGGGAUAUAUUAGCUUAAAUGAUAAGGUCCUAUAGAGCAAGUGCUCAAGAUAUGAAUCACCAAGGCUAGCACUCAAAGGACAAUGAUCAUUGAUAAAUCAUUCUGUGAAUGGUGACCUAAAGUGAGUGAUUAGCCUGAGGCUUAAGUUAAAUAUUUUUUUAAACAUGUGGUCUUGCUCUGUCACCCAGGCUGGAGUGCAGUGGGAUAAUCAAUCAUAGCUUACUGUGACCUUGAACUCCUGUGCUCAAGUGAUCCUCCCACUUCAGCCUCCUGAGUAGCUAGGACCACAGGUGUGUGCCACCAUGCCUGGCUAAUUUUUUACCUUUAUUUUUAUCAAAACAGGGUCUUACUGUGUUGCCCAGGCUGGUCUCAUACUCCUGGACUCAAGCAGUCCUCCCACUUUGGCCUCCCAAAGCACUGGGAUUAUAGGCAUGAGCCACUGUGUCCAGUCUGAAGCUUAAGUUAUUCAUUGCCUCUUUUUAAGGUCCCAACUGAAGGUAAUGGGAGCACAUUCUUAUAACAUUUGAAGAUGAUACUAAGCUAAAUCUAUGUAAUAAAAACUUCUUGUACUAGCCAUAAGAUAAAUUCAGCCAAUUGGACAAAAUUGAGCCUUUUUAACAGACCCAGGAAGUUUAUUACACACACAAACACUCACAUUUACACAUAUAAGUUCAGUGUAUCUAUACAUGGAAGCUGUAAUUGAAAUGAAUGACCAAGUUUUAUGGGCUUGCUAAUUCCCUGGAUAAAAGAAUAAGAAUUCAAAAUUAUAAUUAAACAUUAAACAAAUAGUAAAGUAGAAGAAGCAAGUAUAUAGUUGGGAUGAGAAGAUUAGUAGCUUUGUCUUUGACAUUUAGCUUGAAUUCGCAACAGCAUUGUAGACAGAGUGAAGUUCUCAGAAAGAGACCUGAAAGCCUUCUUGACUUGUCUCCUAUCCUUUCACAUCUAUUCCAACUAUUACCAAGUUUUACCAGAAGCAGAAUCUCCUUUUCCUUGCUAAUUCCGCAGCCAUAGCCUAUGCCAGACCACAUCUCCUCAUUCCUGGACAAUCUAGCCUUCUCUAGGCUCCCCAUUUUGAAUUACUCUUGCAUGCAUUCCUGUCAAAAUAACCUUACUAAAGCACCAUUUAUAAUAUUCUCUAGCCAAUCUAACUACCAUAGAUCUCAGUGACCUCUACGAACUAAGAGUACCCAUAGUAUUUACAAUUAUAUCCAUACAGCUUAACAUUUAAACAUUCUCAGAUAGUUUCAUUUAAGUUCAUUUUGUCUGCCUUGAGGAAAAAGAGUUUGUCUCAUAUUUCUUUGCAGUUACUGUAACACGUAACACAAGGUGUUCAACAUCAAUCCUCAGAUUCAAGUCCUACCCAAUUUGGACUACUUUAACUGUAGUAGAAUAUUCUGAUCUGUGCCAGGAAAAGGUAGGUUACCAUUCAUUCCUUUAUCCAUUCACUCAUCAGACAUUUUUAAGGCAACCUCCGUAUGCAAGACACUGUGCCAGGCAAUAGAUACGAAGAUGUAUGUCCUGCCUUGAAGGAUAUUGUGGGGGAAUCAGACAUGUACAUCAUGGUGAGGACUAGAGAGAAGUAUGCACGGGUGCUUCAGGGCACCCAGGGGAGACACUUGAAAUCAGACUGGAAAUAGGACAGAACAUCAUUGUCCAAGGUGUGUUUCCCAGAGUGCUAGUCCUGUAAGAUUCCCCAAGGAAAAAAAAAGUUUUAUGGUCAAAUAAAUGUGAGAAACUCUGAUCACUGUCACUCCCUCUCCCAAAGAGCCACAAAGCCCAUUAGCAUGCUAAUGCCUAAGAGGAGUCCUGCAGUAGAAACCUGUGGGAAACCCAGGGUAUGAAAUAUAAAAUUCCUAACCAUCAGGAGAAAAGUAGUAGUUGAAACCUUCUGGAUGGGUGAAGUCACUGAGGAAUUGAGGGAAAAGAACAGAGGGGCCAGCCACAGCCAAGGAUGAGAAGAGUAUCAACAUUUAAGUGUGGAAUGGAAAAAGAGUGGCCCAUGAGGGAGGCUAAGAUGAACUGGCCAGGGAUGUAGAAAUAAAUCCAAAACAAAACAGAAAACCAGGAUCAGAGGGAGAGGAUAGAAUUUCAAGGAGGGUUUGGCCAGAAACAUCAGAGCCCCAAAUGAAAAACUGGCAUGUCCACUGGAUUUAGCAAUCAAGGGGUUAUUAGAGACGUUGGUGGGAGUGUUAUCAGGGCAACAUUGGGAGGGAGGGGGCUUGCAGUGGACUGAGGCUGUGAGGAAGUAAGAGUAAUAAGUAUAGACUGGCCUUCUGAGAAAUGUGGCUAUGCAGGGAUGGGAAUAACAUGGGAAGGGACAGAGAGAGAUGCGGUGUUGAAGGAGGGUUAUUUGGCAAUGAGGAGAUUUGAAACUCUUUGUUAUAUUCUAAGGGGAAAGAGCCAAAUAGAGAGGAAAGGUUAAGACAGGAAUUUGAGGGAAGGGUGCCUAAUUAGACUCAGUAACUGAAAAGACAGCGAGGAGGGGAGGUAAAUCACAGUGAGGUGGAAUUAGCCACAGACAGAAAGAGGGCGACCUUUUCUACUGGGCAGGAACAAAGAAAAAAGGGUAGGAGAGAGAAAGUUAUUAGUAAUAUCAUUAAUUCAUAUUUAUGAGGACCUGCUCUAUGCCAGGCACUGUGCUAAGUGGUUUGCAGAGUGUUGAGAAAGGCAGUCUCGUGCAGUCUCUGGAUCCCCGUUCAGCCACAUAAGGAUGGGCUUGAGCCUGGAACACUUCCUAACCAAGAGAUGAACCGCCUACGCAGCCUGUGCUGGGCUUAUCACCUUGUGUAGGAGUAUCUUUCCCUGUUGCAGACUCCAUGAAUAUUCCUGGCCUCUGCUGACGUGUGUAUCUCAGUGGCCCUCAGACGCAUCCCAGGCUUUCAAUAUUUCAGACUCCACACAGGAGAAGGAGGAGUCCUGCCUCUGUGAUAGGUGGAAGGAGUGCACAUAGGCACAUUGUUCUGCUGGAAGAGAUGGUCUAGCCACGGGGGACUGAGGCACACUGUUGCAGUUGAUCUUGCACUGUCUCUUCACUGUCUAUGUAACAUAACCCUUCACUAUGUAAAGGGUUAUGUUAUGUUUUCCUUGGUAACUCCUGUGUCAAGGUGCAAUGGGAAAAAGUGGAGUACUCCUCUUGAAUUAGUGCACAGUAUUCCACUCAACACAUAGGUUGUCCCAUUUAAUCCUUACAGUAAUACUUUAGGGUAGGCACUAAUAUCAUCCCAAUUCUACAGAUGAAGAAAGAGCAGUAGGUCUAAUGGAGUCAAGAUACAAGUCAGGUAAAGAAAGAUUUCUUGCCUAGUGAGUACUUUCUUAGAAAGAAGCUCUUCCUUGGUGUUAUCAAUUUUUCUGAUUGAAGUAAUUGAAGGAGGAAGCAAGACUAUUUGCUGAGAGUGAGGCAGGGAGGUGGCAAGGGAAGGAUGUCUGAGGAACGGAACAGUCACGAUUGGAAUAGUUGCAGAAGAGAAUGAGAGAGUGUGCUAAGUAAAGACAUACUUGAGAACCUAGCCAACAUUGAAGCACAUACUUCAGUUGAGGCUUCAAUUUCUAUAGUUUGUGACACCCCGCCCCUGCCACCCCCAUCUGCUAUGCCAGGAUCUAGUUAGGAAGGCUGGGAAAAGAUAGACUGAGACUUGCAGGGUUUUACAAAGAAGCAUAUACAUCCUUAGAAAUGACUACCAAUAUAUACAAGAUGAUUGAUCCCAGAUGCUCUACUGUAGAUAUAAGCAAAGUACUGCCAGGGUACAGUGGAUGGAGAGGGAUUCAUUCUGAUAGGAAAUUAGAGAAAUCUGAGGAUAUGGAUAACAUUUAAACUUUUACUAGUGUAAAAUUUUAGCAGUUUUCAAGCCUGAUCUACUGAGAAAUGAAUUAACAUCAGAAAAGGAAGAGCAUGUUUGCAGGGGAAACAAUAAGUUCAGUUUUCAGACAUUGAUUUUGAGAUGCCUACAGUUGUAACACAUAGAAAUGUUUAGAUUUGGAAGUUACCACCUACAGGUAGUAGUUCAAGCUUCACACAUGAAGUUGCUGGCAUGCAGAGGGAGUAAAGAUAUCAUAAAGCUAUCUCGCAACCUCAUCACAGAUAAGGACAGAUACAAGGGUACCACUAGGCACCAGGGCAGAGUUUUCUGGCAAUGAAAUCAAGACAGAAGAGGAAGAAAAGCCUGGGAUGCUUUCGGGCAUGGAGUUGGUAGAGGGUUACUGAUGUAGGUAGCCCUUAGGAGUGAUUAGGAGAUUGCAAAAGAAGCGUAUGAAGGAUUUAAGAUUAAGGAAGGGAGGGGCCACUUGGAGGAAUUGCAAAAACAAAGUUUAACUUUAUUUUUCUUUUUACAAGCUUGCCUGGAUCCAGCCUUGCAGAAGAUUAUAGCAAAAGUAUUGUGGGCUCAAUGGCAAGGUCAAGAUGACUGGGCAAGGCCCUGGGAAAUGAAUGCUAACUUCUCACUGUUUUUUUUUUUUUUUUUUACCUUUCUGCUGCCUUCAAUGUACUUUAUUGUACAGUGCUCUCCCACUCCCAGAGACAUUAUCUCGCAUGUCCCUCUUUGCCCUCAAAAUCUAUUUUUUUUUCCCUUUGAGACAGGGUCUUGCUCUGUCACCCAGGAUGGAGUGUAGUGGCGCAAUCACAGCUCACUGCAGACUCAACCUCCCAGGAUCAAGCAAUUCUCCCACCUCAGCCUCCCAAGUAGCUGGGACCACAGGUGCACACCAUCAUGCCCAGCUAAUUUUUGUAUUUUUUUGUAAAGACAGGUUUCACUAUGUUACCCAGGCUGAUCUCGAACUCCCGUACUCAAGCAACUCCCCACCUCAGCCUCCCAAAGUGCUGGGAUUACAGACGUGAGCCACAGCGCCGGGCCCCAAAAUCUAUUUUAAAUGUAAAGAAACCCAAAAGUAACAGUUUUGUAAAAGAAAAUUCACGUACUGUUUUGUAGUAAAUUCUAAACACUGUGUAUCUUUGUGUCUAGUUAAAUCCUAGGCUUACAGCUAAACUUCAAUGAGAAGGCAACCAAAGAAUACGUUAGGAAUUAACCCCUGGAAGUAAGACCAGGCAAAAGGCACCUCAACCAUAUCUGCUAAGUGUAUAAAGAAUUGAUAGUUAGGUGCCACAUCCUUUAUCUACAUUUGCACCUACACGUGAACCUAGACCUUAUUUAUCAAUACCACUCAUCAUAAUGAAAUAAGGAUACAGUGAUACAAUUUCAACACUGUCUAAAAGAACUCAGGCUAGGUGCAAUGGCUUACACCUGUAAUCCUAGCACUUUGGGAGGCCAAGGCAAGUGGAUUGCUUGAGCUGAGGAGUUAAAGAGCAGCUUGAGCAACAUAGUAAGAGCUCGUCUGUACAAAAAAUAAAAUUAGCCAGGUGUGGUGGGGCACACCUGUGAUCCUAGCUACCUGGGAGGCUGAGGUAGGAGGAUCACCUGAGCCUGGGAGAUCAAAGCUUCAGUGAGCCAUGAUCAUGCCACUGCACUCCAGCCUGGGUGACAGAGUCAGACCCUUUUUCAAAAAAAAAAAAAAAAUUGUAGAUGGAGAGCAAGAGGCAAAGGGGAGCAAGAAAAAGGGAAAACAAGAAAGGAAGGGCCUCCUUCACUGGCUGCCUUUGUCCUGACACCUCCUUUAUUUGAGUUACUAACAUGGGGUUCCAGAAGGUAUUUUUCCAUAAAAAAACAUUGAAAUCAUUAGCUGAACUGGAUAGUCUACUCCAUUAUGUCUUGGAUAGGUUCUGACCUUCACACAUGGCCCCGGAGAAUAAGAAACUGAAGAAAGCAGUUUUUAUGGCAAAAAAAAGAAAUGUAACGAGGAAGGACAUAUCUGGCUUGGUGAGCCAAGGUUUUGCAUGAGAGACAGCUUUGGCAGAAAAUAUGUUUGGCUGCAUUUUUUUAAAACCCAAAUGAAAUAGCUUUAUUUUACUAAGUCCCUUGGGUAAAAUGUGUAUGUUUUUACAAUAUAUAUUACCUACACUAUUAAGUAGAAAAAUGUCAGUAGCAAAUUGGCACAGCUUCUUAGACUCCUAAUAUGUAUGCCUAGUGUUCCAUUAUUGGAAUGCUAAGCUUGUGGGAGUUAUUUAUAUCCUACUGCUCAAGAUCAUCGCCAAGUUCUGAUUUUUCACACACACAAAAAAAUUGCAAUCUCCAGCAUAAAUAGGUUAAUGGUUAAUAUCUGGGCAUAGCUGAAAAGUAGCAAAACAGAUGCUGUUUUCAGAUUUUUUAUUUUGAUUAGUAGCAUCAGGGAACUGGUAUGGUGAGGGUGGUUGGGGUUCAGAAAAGGAGAAGGAAGCUGAAAGGGGAAAGAAACAUAAAUACAUGAGAUGAUAAUUGAGAGAUUCAAAUUUUCUAUAUUUUCUGUCUUUUGAAAGAGACAGAAUUUAAAUUUUAUGGAAUUUCAUUAGAAUUUUUUUAAUGAAUGCAGAAAAACACCUUAAACACCUUAAAACAUAUCUAGGCUGACCCACAGAAGAGUAAAGCCAUCCUGUCUUUUCUCUGUAUCUCUCUGACACACACACACACACACACACACACACACACACACAUCAAUAGUUUCUGAGGAUCAUUUUUAAUUUAUUUUUAUUUCUAGCAUACAAAAGCCUAGGAUUAUACUCCUUUUUAUGUGUUUUAGAAGGGUGAGGUGCAAUGUUAAGGAAAUUAACUCAAUAACAUUUUACCUGCUAAGUGAAAUACAAAAUCUACCCCUACGAUUAAUAGUUUAUACUUUUUUGUUGUCUUGCAUUACGUGGAUAAGUAAGGAUUUUUUCCAAAAAAAAGAUAUGUGUAGUUUGAGACCAGCAUGGGCAAAUGACAAAAUCUCAUCUCUACAAAAAGUACAAAAAUUAGCCAGGCAUGGUGGUGCACACCUAUAGUGCCAGCUACUCAGGAGGCUGAGAUGGGAGGAUGACUUGAGCCCAGGAGGCAGAGUUUGCAGUGAGCCAAGAUUGUGCCACUGCACUCCAGCCUGGGCAACAGAGCCAGACCCUAUCUCUAAUUAAUUAAUUAAUUAAAAUUUAAAAAAAUAUAUAUGUGUAUGAUAUGUAUGGAAAUCAGUACGUUGGCGAGAAUGAAAAAAGGCUGCACAUUUUCAGGGAGCCAAAAGACAGAGAGCCUGAGAAUAAAAGGGGGACUGAGCUGGUUUCAGCUGCAAAGCCAGCAAUCAUUUCAGACAAUAGUCUGCUCUUUCAGCUGAAAAUACGGGAAAAGGAGUGGCACAAAUAAAUGCCCUCCUUGACUGUCCAAAUAUCUGUAAGAUAAUUAAAGUAUCCUUCACCCUUUUUAAUGGGAGCCCACUGCUUCGCUCUAUGUAAAUGAAGUUAGGAUCCUUUCAAACAAUACAAAUAGGAGAAGGAGAUCAUAUAUAUAUUGUAAUAUUAUAUCAUACAUAUAUUACGUAGAAUGUUCUUUUCUGAUUAUAAAGCAAUUCAUGAGAAAAAUAUUAAUAAAAUAUUUAAAAUUAAUGAUCAUUUUAGAAAAAAAUGGG
rnacentral:lncRNA from 1 species